AGUGAAAUAGAAAUCAAAUAAAUGCUAAUGAGUAGAAAUAUUUUAUAUUAUAGAUCAAGAAUCCAAAGAAGAACGAGGAAAAGAAAAAGUUGCGGAAUAGUCCCUAAAUUUCAAUAUCUUCUACAAAUUAGCCGGAUUGACUUGAAGUGAAGUGGGUAGAUCGGAUCAACACAACAAAGCACACUAUCCAGAUCAAUUCCGGUAGCUUUUGUUUUAUGUUUGAAGAUUUAUAUGGCAUGUAUAGAGUUUAAAUGAAAUGAAGUAAAGAUGUUAUAAACUAGUUAACAACAUUUUGUACUAAAAUAGUUUUUGGUUAGUAGCAGUAGUCUGAGUUUGAAAA